GACGAACCGCGCGAACGUUGUUCGGAAUCACUGGGCUUAAAGGGCGCGUAGGCGGUCGGGCAAGUCCGGGGUGAAAUCCUGCAGCUCAACUGUAGAAGUGCCUUGGAUACUGCUCGGCUCGAGGGAGGUAGGGGUCUGUGGAACUUCUGGUGGAGCGGUGAAAUGCGUUGAUAUCAGAAGGAACGCCGGUGGCGAAGGCAGCCCCCGGGUAC
rnacentral:rRNA from 1 species